rnacentral:rRNA from 1 species
UACGUAGGGGGCAAGCGUUGUCCGGAAUCAUUGGGCGUAAAGAGCGUGUAGGCGGCUCGGUAAGUCCGCUCUGAAAGCCCGGGGCUCGACCCCGGGAGGCGGGCGGAUACUGUCGGGCUAGAGUCCGGAAGAGGCGAGUGGAAUUCCUGGUGUAGCGGUGAAAUGCGCAGAUAUCAGGAGGAACACCAAUGGCGAAGGCAGCUCGCUGGGACGGUACUGACGCUGAGACGCGAAAGCGUGGGGAGCAAACAGG